rnacentral:rRNA from 1 species
GACGUAGGGGGCGAGCGUUGUCCGGAAUCACUGGGCGUAAAGAGCACGUAGGCGGGAUAUUAAGUCAGGUGUGAAAGACCGUGGCUCAACCACGGGGUUGCAUUUGAAACUGAUAUUCUUGAGGGCAGGAGAGGACAGUAGAAUUCCUGGUGUAGCGGUGAAAUGCGUAGAAAUCAGGAGGAAUACCGGUGGCGAAGGCGACUGUCUGGACUGACCCUGACGCUGAGGUGCGAAAGCGUGGGUAGCAAACAGGAUUAGAUACC